GUGAUCUAGAUUGUGGGUGGGCUCAUGGACAGGAAGUUCAUCACUCAGAAUGUGUAUGUACGAGUGCAGAAGUGUCUCACACGCUGAGCGCAUCGACAUGUUUUUAAAACAAGUUACAAACUGUCUUUUAUUUUUGACUAUAAUUUAUCUCCCACAUACAGAUGCGGGGUCUAUCAGAGCAGUUGAAGGAGCGACUGUCCAUCUGCCCUGCCACUCUCCACCUGAUGACAGUGUACAAGUUACUGGAAAGUGGACAAAAAAUAGUGCAACUAACAAAACUAUCUGUGAAUGGAAUUUUAAUAAAAUUACUGGAUCUUCCUCCAGUGAUUGCAUUCCUCAUUUUACAUUCAACAGAACGUCUUUUACACUAAGUAUAGAAAAUGUUCAGCCCAGUGACUCUGGUAAUUACAGCUGUAAAACAACAAGAUUAAUUCUACCACCGACAUUGGACAACAUCUCAAAUGUGAUACUCCAAGUUGAAGGUCUGUCCCUGCAGCUCCUGAACAGCAGUAAUGACACCUGUAUUCAUCUGCUCUGCUCUCUGGAGAGUCUGAACCCUGAGCUGGUGAACUUCACCUGGAGCCGAGAGGGUCAAAGUUUACUUCAUCCAUCCACAUCUUAUGACAUGAAGAGUGAGCUGCAUCUGUGUAAACCUGACUGGAGUGAUGGAGAAACAAUCACCUGCCAUGCUAACUACUCAAAUAGCCAAACCCAAAAAAGUAUACAACUCCCCUCACAGCAUACUUCUGACAAAACUAUUGGCAUUAAGCAGUUGAUCAUCAUAUGCAGUGCUGCUGCAGGCCUCAUCCUCUGCAUCAUCAUCAUUGUUGUUCUUUGCAAAUGUAGAAAGCGAGACGAAAACGGAUCUGUAGUGUUCAGCAAUAAAGUAUAUGAGAACUUCAGUUUCGCCAUGUCCCGCCAAAACACACAGUCCAUUGCUAAACCUCAGACAGAAGAGUGUAUUUAUGAGAACUAACUGCUGUUGCUGCUUACAUUAGCUUUGUUUAACGCCAGACGGGAACAGUUGUUACGAACGCAGUACGUGUGUUUACGUAGUUUUUCCAAGACAUUUGAUGGUGCACCUUGAAUGUGAAGAAAAUGGCCACUUACUGACUUGAAAACUCAUGAGACACUUCAGCAAAACAGAGAGACAGCAGCCACAUGCAACGCUUUCUGGAAUGCUUUUGGCAAUGCGGCAGUAAAUCACACUACAACUUUAUUUGUCAAUCAUGGACAGUCUGCCAAAAUUCGCUACAACUACAGACGAGCAAAUGAUACAGAAAUCAUGACAGUGAAUCUUCAAACAAUAAAUGGUACACUGUGUUACAUGCACAUGCGUUCAUGGGAAAAAACUAGCUGUAAUGAUCACAUCAGAUUCAUAUGGAUUAAUAAGACUAUGGAAAUAUCAUUCGAGCUAUUAAAUUUGCAAAUUCAGGAUACCGGCACAUACACCUGUACUGUGAAGAGGAUUGCAAAACCACCUGAAGAGGAACUGGGAGUAGAAAGAGUUCAAGUUAUUGUACAUCCCGUCUUGUCUCUAUCCUGUGUGAAGAGGCCUGAUGGACCUCCCAUGAUUCUGUGCUCUGUGGGAUUUUACCAUGAUUCUCUUGAACAGCUGUGGAUCAGAGAUGGAGACGUCCUCAACAGUUCAUACUCAAACAAAUCAUUCAAUGGAUUCUUUAAUCAGAAAUCAUACCUUAUACUGCCGCCACAAACCUUCAAUGACACAAUCUACUCCUGCUGGGUAAACCACUCGUCAUUAAACAAACCACUUGUGGCCAAUUUAUCAAGCUCUGUCUGCUAUGAACGAGGGGAUUUAACUGUGGCUCUGGCAGUGGCUUUUGUCAUCUCUGCGGUGUUGACUGUCUUUUUGAUCAUCGUAGUCGUGUAAAUGUUACAGUAAGUCUCAAUGAAGAACGCGAAAUAGAAUGGAGAACGGUGUUCUGAAGACCUGUCUUGCUACCUUGAAGGACACAAGGACACAGAAUGUCCUGUGAUCUUGUUUCUCAUCUGACCAUCCUAUCACAUUUUAUGUAUAAGAGUAACAGGACCACCCAAUGCAUAAUAAAUAAAACAUAACAUAACACAGAUGUCAGAACCCAUUAAAACAUUUACUUAAAUUAUUUUUUUAUAUUUCAUGUCUUUUUAUUUUAUUAUUAAAAUGUAUGAGUGUGUAAAUGAGUUUGUAUAUUUUAAUGUUAAGACUCUUUUUAAUACACCAAUAAAGAACUGCAGAUUUUC